UUUCCGUAGGUGAACCUGCGGAAGGAUCAUUAAUGUAAAUAAAAAAAUAAAUUUAUAAAUUAUUUCCCAAUACAAAAAGAAAAAAAGAAAAAAAAAAAUUUCAUUUUAUAUCAUAUAAAUUAUUAUAGAGUGAGUUGUGUAUUUUUUUUUUUUUUUUUUUUUUUAAUUUAAAAAUUAAAUAAAAAAAAUAAACGACUAAUAAAACAAAAUAAAAACUUUUAAUAAUUUAUUUUUUUUUUUUUUUAUCUAUUUGAAAUUAAAAAAAAAAAAAAAAAAAAAAUAUUUAAAAAAAAAGAAGGAUUAUAUGUGAUCCUUUGUGGUUUGUGUUUGCAACUUUUUUUAUCAGAAAAAAAAAAAAAAAAAAAUAAAAAAAAAAAAAAAUAAAAAAAAGAAUAAGUAUAUAAUCACAAAUAUAAUAUUAAAAACUUUAUAUUAUAUUCUAUAUUAAUUAUAUAAAAUUAAUUAAUAACAAACAUAAUAAAAAUACAACUUUUAACAACGGAUCUCUUGGCUCUC
rnacentral:misc_RNA from 1 species